rnacentral:rRNA from 1 species
UGCCUACGGGGGGCAGCAGUGAGGAAUAUUGGUCAAUGGCCGGAAGGCUGAACCAGCCAAGUCGCGUGAGGGAAUAAGGCCCUAUGGGUCGUAAACCUCUUUUGUCGGAGAACAAAACCCGGGACGUGUCCCGGACUGCGUGUAUCCGAAGAAAAAGCAUCGGCUAACUCCGUGCCAGCAGCCGCGGUAAUACGGAGGAUGCGAGCGUUAUCCGGAUUUAUUGGGUUUAAAGGGUGCGUAGGCGGUCCGUUAAGUCAGCGGUAAAAUUGCGGGGCUCAACCCCGUCGAGCCGUUGAAACUGGCAG